CGGCCGCCCACUCCGGCCAGGACCCAGGAGCUGGCGAGGCUGCAGAGCCUACCAGGGCUGGGUUUUUCCAGCCGGAGCCCCGCUCCCUCUACUGCAAGCUCUGGAAAUUGGUGUCUGACGUCGCCGCUCCUUCACGUUAUUUAUUUACUUCCUCUUUUCUUCCCUCCGCUGAGGCCCUCCGGUUGGGAGAGCUGCAGGCAGAAAGCUGCCGGGUGGAGGAAGCAGAGAGGACGGUGGGCAAGACCGCUCAGGAGCCCCCGGCCUGCCCGCGGGGGUCAUGAGCAUCCGGCCGGACGCCCCGAGGGAGGAGGGAGAUGCCGGGGACAGGGGACAGGAGGCAGAGCUGCGGGGCCGAGCCAGCAGCCGGCAGCGCCAGCACAGACAGGCCACCCGGUUCCUGCACAAGGACUCGGCCGACCUGCUCCCCCUGGACGGCCUCAAGAGGCUCGGCACCUCCAAAGACUGGCAACCGCACAACGUGAUCCAGCGGCGUCUGGUGGAGGGGAACCCGAGCCGGCCUCAGGGGGAGCAUCCCUUGGUGCUGGCCGCGAUCCACGGCCAGGAGACCAGGAGGAAGACCAGCAAGACAGAGAGGCCAGCUCUUCUGGUCAACUGCAAGUGCCAGGACCAGGUUCUUCAGGUGGCCGUGGACACGGGCACCCACUACAAUCAGAUCUCCGCUGGAUGCCUCAGCCGCCUGGGGUUAGGGAAGAGGGUCCUAAAAGCCCCAUCUGGGGACCUGGCGCCUGGGCCCCCAGCCCAGGUGGAGCAGCUGGAACUACAGCUGGGCCAGGCAACCGUGGCGUGCUCGGCCCGGGUGGUAGGUAAGUCCCCUCUCUGUCAGCAUCCCCGCGUCUCUGCUCUUACAGCUCUCCCUCCUGGGCGGGGCGAAGGCAGAGCCUGUCAGCUCCUGCCAGCACAGACAAGGUACCCCCAAAGAUGCUCUGAUUAUCCCCAAGGUUCUCUGGCCUGGGGUGGUGGGGGGAGCAGAGAAGGGGCGAGUGCUGACAGGAGGACAGCAGCAUUCUCAAACGGUUCCCGCAGAUGUGGAGAGUCCUGAACUCUGCCUUGGCCUGCAGACUCUGCUCUCUCUCAAGGUAAGGAGGAUGCUGACACCCACACCCAGGGCCUGACCCCGAGCGCUGGGAAAAAGAAGUAGGGGGCACGGGUGUGGAAGCAUGGGCCAGGCUCCGAUGAGACGGACUUGGAGAUGUGGAAUUUCACCCUCGAUGCUUAGAGGUUCCUUAUUUGUGAAAAAUAUGGAGAACUGGGUCCCUCCAUGAGAGUGGUCCAGUGCUGCAUUGACCUGGAGCAUCGCGUGCUGCGGCUGAAAGCCCCCCUCCCUGAGCUGCCCUUCCUGCCUUUGCACCAAGAGCCGGACCAGUGACCGCUGCCCCAGAUGGUCCCCAGGGGAAAGCUCCUUGCCUGAAGGGAAGAGCCAUGGGGGGAUGGGGCAUGACUAGAGCCAGGUAGCUGGGACAGCUGGGUCUGACCCUCUUGUCACCACCCUGGCCCCUUUCCCGUUUCCCAGUCGGCCACACUCCUCUGCUUCUCAGCACCUGCCCCAUCCCCCAGGAGGAAUGUUCCCUGGAGAGGGCCCGCGAUCUCAGGGUUCUGGUUUCCCCGUCCUCUCUCAUGCCCGCCGUCCCAAGAAGAGCGGAGCUAAGUCAGGACUCAGAAAAGGACACCAGCAGAGCGGGGUCCUGGCUGGGCCCCUGGCACAGCAUGGGGUGGCCCGAGUCCAAGGCUACAGGCUGCUGCUGGCCCCUGCCUGCCCCGUCCACCCCGUACACCGUCGAGGCCUUGACUCCGCGUGGCUCGCCUCACAACUAGCCUGCCCCCCUCCCCGGCCCGGGCCCCUGGCCCUGCUGUGUCCACUUCUCUGAUCUGCGCACAGCUGAGCGGGAGAGAAACAGUCACCACAACAGUAGAGGAAUGCCUAGCCCAUGAGGGCCGGGGGUUCCUUCAUCGGCUGCCUCUUCUGGGGCUGCAAACGUCUGAAGCCAGUUAUUAGUUGAUGCCCUGCGCAAACCUUGGGUAAACCUCUACUAUUUACUCCAGAUACGUACCCUCCACCUGCUUCCUCACCCACUGGGCAUGUGUGGAGAGCCCUGUGGGGAAUGGCCCCCCAAGGCAGACAGGAAUGGUGACGUUGCCAGGACCCAGACUUAACCUGACCAAUAUUCCUUCUUAUUUCUAGAACUAUCCACUUCAUUAGACCUUCUUCCCACCCCUCAUCUCUGGCCUCCUGAGCUUGAGCUGGUUUUUUCUGGCAUCAGUGGCUACCCAACCCCCCCACCCCGGCCCUGAGUCCAGCAAAGACACAAGGAGGCUUUGCUGCCUUCCCUGUGAAGAGCCCAAACCUCAAAGGGCCAGGCCCCCGGGUGCCUCUCUGGCUGGUUUGAGUCUCUCAUAUGUUGGAUUAGGGGAGAGGAAGACAGUGGUGUAACUAACCCGACCAGGGGACUAGGACACUCAGCUCGGAGUCAAAACCCUGAGCCUGGAGUAGAUUAGAUCUGAGCAGAACCAGGAUCUGCCGUGAGCCCUGGCCAUAACCUUUCUCAGCUGAGUCCUCUGCACCCAGAGGAGAGGAGAGGGGCUCACUGGCACAGGUGUGAGAGUGCGCUGGCCCCUCUGGCCCUGCUCCUCGACCCCUGCUCUCCCGGGCCUCUCCCUGUCCCCCUCCCUUCCGCCUCCUUUGCUUCUGCAAUUGCAGACCCAGGCCCAAGGAGGCCCUCAGCUCAGUGGUUUCCCCAUUUGAAUAAACACCUGUUUGUCCUAGCUAGUGUCCUUCUCUGCUUCUCAGACACUGAAUGAUCACUCUGCCCUUGUUCCCUUACAGAAGGAAAUGUGAAGGGGGACAUUCCCUCGGGCUGACCCCUCUGGCUGGGGUCACUAUAACUGACAGCAGUGGCUUUCCAACUCCUCUGAACACAACUCAGCAGGAAGUGUAUUCUACGUUGCACUCACUACACACACGUGCACGGACACACACAAGUACAACAAAACAAUCCUUCCCUACACGUGAGCAACAUACUCCCAUAUUUUUGGUCCUACUUAGUCUACUCUAUCUCAUUUAUUUAAAAAAAUUGCCGACCACAACCCAACAAAGGAUCGCAACCUACAAUUCGAAGACCAUUGAUUCAGAGCACAGGAAGCAAGAGAAGAAGGGAUAUACGUGGCCCAGGGUAUCGUUCUGAUCGUGGCCUGCCUGGACUGCAAACCCGCAUCAGACUUUAAAAUCAUGAGGGUGAACAACCAAUACACUGACAACCAUCCUGCUUCUCACUUCCAGUGCAGUGUUCAGUUUAUUACGUGAGAUAUCCCUCGCUUUACUAUAAAGCAGGCUUCACGUUAGGUGACCUUGCCCAGCUAGAGGCUGAUGUAAGUGUUCUGAGCACGUUUAUCACAGGGUAGGCUAAGCUGUGACGUUCGGUAGGUGAGGUGUGGGAAAUGCAUUUUCAGUUUACAAUAUUUUCAACUUACGAUGGAUUUAUGAGAGUGAAACCCAUCAUAAGUCAAAGAUCUGUGGUUCGCCAUUCGUGUAACAAUCAGUGACGUCAGUGACCUGGAGCCGUGCCACAAAAGAUGGAACUUGGGGGUGGGGCCUCACUGCCAUCGCGCCACUGGCCCCAAAGUCUGCCUGGGGAGCAGUGAGAGAUCUGUAGUCCCUCCUCACAAACAAGUCUGUUUCCCACACAACAAGAGUGGGGAGCUCUGGGGAGGGGGCAGUGCCUACCGGUGUGAUGGGCCAGGCACACGAGGAAAGGGGCAGAGGAGCAACUCGUCUCCUCCUUCACCAGAAAGACCAUGAGGUCUACAGUUCCCAGUCCCCCGAGGGU